AGAGUUUGAUCAUGGCUCAGAUUGAACGCUGGCGGCAUGCCUAACACAUGCAAGUCGAACGGCAGCAUGAGUAGAGCUUGCUCUACUUGAUGGCGAGUGGCGGACGGGUGAGUAAUAUGUAGGAAUCUACCUAGAGGAGGGGGAUAACUUGGGGAAACUCAAGCUAAUACCACAUAAGCCUUACGGGGGAAAGCAGGGGAUCGCAAGACCUUGCGCCUUAUGAUGAGCCUACAUCGGAUUAGCUAGUUGGUGGGGUAAAGGCCUACCAAGGCGACGAUCCGUAGCUGGUCUGAGAGGAUGAUCAGCCACACUGGGACUGAGACACGGCCCAGACUCCUACGGGAGGCAGCAGUGGGGAAUAUUGGACAAUGGGCGCAAGCCUGAUCCAGCAAUGCCGCGUGUGUGAAGAAGGCCUUAGGGUUGUAAAGCACUUUCAGUGGGGAGGAAGGUAUGCAUGCUAAUAUCAUGUAUAUUUGACGUUACCCACAGAAGAAGCACCGGCUAACUCUGUGCCAGCAGCCGCGGUAAUACAGAGGGUGCGAGCGUUAAUCGGAAUUACUGGGCGUAAAGGGUGUGUAGGUGGAUAGGUAAGUUAGAUGUGAAAUCCCCGGGCUUAACCUGGGAACUGCGUUUAAAACUGCUUGUCUAGAGUAAUGUAGAGGAUAGUGGAAUUUCCAGUGUAGCGGUGAAAUGCGUAGAUAUUGGAAGGAACACCAGUGGCGAAGGCGACUAUCUGGACAGAUACUGACACUGAGACACGAAAGCGUGGGGAGCAAACAGGAUUAGAUACCCUCGUAGUCC
rnacentral:rRNA from 1 species